GGACCUUCUCAUCCAGUGGACUGUGUAAUUAGUGCAGCGCCAUGAGCUUGACUUCCUUCAGGUUUCCCACACUGCAUAGUGGCAGAAGAAACAGCAAGAGCGAAGGCUCUGAGGCAGGAGCAAGCAAGCCAGACAUGGACCAGGAAAAGCAAGGUAUUUUUAAGAAAUGCAAAACAUUGGAAAGGCAUGAAAAAAAUGAGGAGUUGUAAGCACAGUAAAAAGUAAGUAAACCUCAUUUACAUUCUUCUAACAACAUUGAGAGAAAUUUUGAAUUGCCAGCAUAAUUUAAAAUAUUGCUUUUACAAAUUUUAUUUUCAGGCAUUAGUUUUGAUAUUUAUGCAUGAAACAAAU
rnacentral:lncRNA from 1 species